AUUGAACGCUGGCGGCACGCCCAACACAUGCAAGUCGAGCGGCAGCGAGACUAGUAGCAAUACUAGUUGUCGGCGAGCGGCGGACGGGUGAGUAACACGUAGGAAUCUGCCCUUAAGCGGGGGAUAACCAAGGGAAACUUAGGCUAAUACCGCAUAAUCUCGAGAGAGCAAAGCUGCCCGCAAGGGUGGCACUUGAGGAGGAGCCUGCGUCCGAUUAGCUAGUUGGUGGGGUAAGGGCCUACCAAGGCGAUGAUCGGUAACUGGUCGGAGAGGACGACCAGGCACACUGGGAAGGAGACACGGCCCAGACUCCUACGGGCGGCAGCAGUGGGGAAUAUUGGACAAUGGGGGCAACCCUGAUCCAGCGAUGCCGCGUGAGUGAAGAAGGCCUUCGGGUCGUAAAGCUCUUUAGGUUGGGAAGAAGGGUAUUGGCUGAAUAAUCCAGUACUUUGACGGUACCGACAGAAUAAGCACCGGCAAACUCUGUGCCAGCAGCCGCCGUAAUAC
rnacentral:rRNA from 1 species